rnacentral:rRNA from 1 species
GACGAACGCUGGCGGCGCGCCUAACACAUGCAAGUCGAACGAGCGAGAGAGAGCUUGCUUUCUUGAGCGAGUGGCGAACGGGUGAGUAACGCGUGAGGAACCUGCCUCAAAGAGGGGGACAACAGUUGGAAACGACUGCUAAUACCGCAUAAGCCCACGGUGCCGCAUGGCACAGAGGGAAAAGGAGCAAUCCGCUUUGAGAUGGCCUCGCGUCCGAUUAGCUAGUUGGUGAGGUAACGGCCCACCAAGGCGACGAUCGGUAGCCGGACUGAGAGGUUGAACGGCCACAUUGGGACUGAGACACGGCCCAGACUCCUACGGGAGGCAGCAGUGGGGAAUAUUGCACAAUGGGGGAAACCCUGAUGCAGCGACGCCGCGUGGAGGAAGAAGGUCUUCGGAUUGUAAACUCCUGUUGUUGGGGAAUAUAAUGACGGUACCCAACAAGGAAGAGACGGCUAACUACGUG